GGGGUUGUGGCUCAGUGGUAGAGUGCUUGCCUAACACACAUGAAGCACUGGGUUUGAUCCUCAACACCA
rnacentral:tRNA from 1 species